rnacentral:rRNA from 1 species
UACGAAGAGUGCAAGCGUUACUCGGAAUUAUUGGGCGUAAAGAGCUCGUAGGCGGUUUGUCGCGUCUGCUGUGAAAACCCGAGGCUCAACCUCGGGCCUGCAGUGGGUACGGGCAGACUAGAGUGCGGUAGGGGAGAUUGGAAUUCCUGGUGUAGCGGUGGAAUGCGCAGAUAUCAGGAGGAACACCGGUGGCGAAGGCGGGUCUCUGGGCAGAUACUGACGCUGAGGUGCGAAAGCGUGGGGAGCAAACGGG